GAUGAACGCUAGCGGCAGGCUUAACACAUGCAAGUCGAGGGGCAGCGCGGGAUAGCAAUAUCCUGGCGGCGACCGGCGGGAGGGUGCGUAACGCGUGAGCGACAUGCCCGUUGCCCGGGGACAACCGGUGGAAACGCCGACUAAUCCCCGAUGGGAUACGAUGCUUCAUGGCAUUGUAUUGAAAGUUACGGCGGCGACGGAUUGGCUCGCGUCCGAUUAGCUGGUUGGCGGGGUAACGGCCCACCAAGGCUGCGAUCGGUAGGGGUUCUGAGAGGAAGGCCCCCCACAAUGGGACUGAGACACGGCCCAGACUCCUACGGGAGGCAGCAGUGAGGAAUAUUGGUCAAUGGGCGGAAGCCUGAACCAGCCAUGCCGCGUGCGGGAAGGAGGCCCUAUGGACUGUGAACCGCUUUUGCCUGGGGGCAAUAAGGGCGUCGCGCACGUCCGAUGAGAGUACCAGGCGAAUAAGCAUCGGCUAACUCCGUG
rnacentral:rRNA from 1 species